rnacentral:tRNA from 1 species
CAGGCUUGUAGCUCAGGUGGUUAGAGCGCACCCCUGAUAAGGGUGAGGUCGGUGGUUCAAGUCCACUCAGGCCU